GCAGGGGAGAUGAUGAUGAUGAAGAUGAUGAUGAUGAAAAGGUGGUUUGGUUCAGCUUGCUGACUGCUGCUCCUGAGCUGGUUUUUGGCAAUGAUGAAGUGUGUCUUGGCCUCCAUCGGCUUCCUAAUAAGAUUGGAACUGCAACGGAGAGAGAGGCGUGGAUGGAUGAGAGGGAGCGAGGACUGAGAAGAGAGAAGGGGGGGAAAGCCUACAUCUACUCAUACUUAAAGAUCUCCCCCCCAAGGGCCGUAAUAAGAUGGCCCAGGGCCCCUAGGCUACAGGUUGCUCUGGGCCCCCCUGCAAGGUACAUUCCAGGACAAAAUUAAACAGACACUGGCCAGGGUCGGAGUAAGAUAGCCCGGGGGCCCUAGGCUACAGGUUGCUGUGUACCCCCCACCCCCGCCUGCAAGGUAUGCAAAACCACCGGUAGCGAGUUGGAGAGGAGCUGGGCCUCAGGUGGGGUGGAGAUGAAUGGGCCUUUUCAGUUGGGGGCUACGGAACGCCAUGUGCUGACUUCACACAAACUCAGAGGCAUCUUCCCCCUCUUUCCUCACCCUGCACUGCCUACCAUGUGUUUUUUUUCUGUCCAUGUUCUGUUGAAGAGUUAAGAAACACUGAAAGAUUGUACAGUUUGCAUGGAUGAAAGCACAGAUGUAACAUCUUAAAGACCACCAAUCACCACCACCAACAACAGCAACAAAAAUGCUGACUGCUCUACAAUUUCCAGUCUACCAGAGAAACUCAUUAAAAAAUACGCUCCCUAUCUAAAUAUCCUAAACUGGACUCUCUUUUUUAAUUCGCUCUCUCAUCGCAGUAAUUUUCCUCAGUCAACCUUGAUGUCCGCGCCUGACUGUUGUAGGUUGUGAGUGACCGUCAGAUGCUCGGGGCAGAAUAAAGGUUGCUUGUCACUCAGCUGUGUGGCGGCACAAUGGGUGGUCUAUGCCCUCUGGCACCUCCUCAUCCAGCCCCGUCAUGAUGGCCACCCAGGGCUGCACUGGCCAUAGGGCAUACAGGGCAUUUGCCUGGUGGCCUGUUGAUGAUUUUGGCUCUGUCCUCCCCUCAAUGUAGUGGUAUCAGUCCUUGUGCCGCUACAGCAAACCUCUCAGAGUCAAAUUUGACCAUUAAUGCUGUGGACCAACUUGGUCAAAAUAACUAUUAGAUGACAAAAAAAUGUUGACACAUGCUUUAUUGUCGCACUCAAUGCCUAGCGGACCGGUCUUGGCUGAAAAUGCCCGACCCGAUUUUUUGGUCGAGUCCAUCAUGAUGACCACCACCAGUGUUGUGUUUACGGGACGGGAGCGGACCACCCUCCUUCUGCUGCUGCUGCAGCUGAUGAACCCACCUUAAGCUCCUGGAAAAGAGGGAUGCCAAGCCUUAAACAGCUAUGGGCCUACAGUACAGAAUAAACACCCAACCAGGGCCCACGUACAGUACCUCAAACCACUAGUGCCCACUCAGCAAACUCAAAGCACAGUAAUGUAAACCUAUUCUUAUCAGACUGUAUAAUGCAGCUGACUGCACUGAUCAGUUGAUUUACCAGACCUGAAGUUGUUUAGUUAAUAAGAUCAGCUAACCCCCACCAGCUUCCACAUGGGAUUUAAGUUCUGGAAAAGAAAAAUCAAAUAAAUCAAUUUCAUUUUGAAUGAGAGGAGUAGAUGGAGGAAUGCUGUCAAAAAAGGAUUUUUGAAAUCAUAAGUGGAAAAGCCGAUGAGAAAAUGAAAGCACCUAAUAUUGAAGAUGCCGUACAGCUUUUUAAACAUUUUUUUUACAACUACUGUGUACAAUAGCAUGCAAACUUAUCCAGUCAGUUUGGGAGGCCUAUCUUUGAAACAAAACAAUCUUAGGCAAGGUUAUGCCAAGAUUAUUACUGCACAAAUUCACCAAGCAUGACAAAAGCAACAAAACCUCCGGGAGUAAUUGACUUAUUGUUUUCUAUGUGUUUGAGCUACAUAAUCAUUUUUUGCCAUGAUGAAAUUUUGGGUAAAAAGUUUGGGGUCGCCCA